CUAACCUUACAAAAUUGGCAGCACUAAGUUUCCGUUGGACCAUAAUAAUCAUUCCAUAAGUUUGUGUUUGUACAUGGACAAGUCAAUGAUGCCAAUCCUUAACAGGUACUUGUUUUAGGAAGUAUAGACCUUCAUUGACCUCGAGGUUGAAGAUGCAAUUGAUGAUGAUCAAUCUCUAAGCUUUGCUCCGAUCAGCGAGCACUGCUCCCAAGUUAAAACAAUUUAGAGAGAGAGAGAGAGAUCGCAGAGAAAGAAAGGAAUUUAGAGGGAGAGGGAGU
rnacentral:misc_RNA from 1 species